UUUACACUCACUUUCACACACAGACGCCAAGAAAGAAACCAUACGCCAAGAAAGAAAGAAACCAUUUUUUCACAUCCUCAGUAGUAAAAACCCUAAUCUUCGAUCGCGCUCCUCUUCCGCUCUCUAAAACCCUAAUAUCCGAUCCUCCAGAUCGCUUCGCCCAUCAAAUCCCCGCUCCCCAAUCGCUAAGCUUUCCUAUUGCGCCACCAAUUUUCCUCCUAGGGUUUGUUCUGAUUGAAAUUCCGUCAAGGCUGGCGGCUACCCGGGUCAUGUAAAUGGCGGAUCCGCCAACAAUCCGCCCCUGCAAGCGUUGUGUUACAGUUACAGAUACAGUUACGGGCGGUAGCAUAGGAAGCAGAAGCAGCAGCAGAAGGAGAAGAGUGGUGUUGAUAGGGUCAGAGAGUUGUGAAGAUUGCGAAGAGUGAAGCAUGCUGAGCGUGGUGCGAGUGCACCUCCCUUCCGAUAUUCCCAUCGUAGGAUGUGAGUUAACACCUUAUGUGCUCCUCCGCCGCCCUGACAGGACCGUUACCACCGAUGAUGUUUCCGAGAUCAACCCCUUAGAUGGCCAUUUCUUGCGUUACAAGUGGUAUCGUGUACAAAGUGAUAAAAAAGUUGCUGUUUGUAGCAUACAUCCAUCCGAGCAGGCCACACUGCAGUGCCUAGGUUGUGUUAAGGCUAAAAUACCUGUUGCCAAAAGUUACCAUUGCACUCCAAAGUGUUUUUCAGAUGCAUGGCAGCAUCAUCGUGUCUUACAUGACCGUGCUGCAAGCGCAGUUAAUGACAACGGAAAUGAAGAGGAGGAGUUAUUUGGGCGAUUUAAUAAUUCUGGUUCUGGAUCUUCCAAUACCACCUUAUCUGCCUCUGCUUCAAGUGCUAGCCUGACAAAUGGAGCUGCACCUGUGUAUCCGGCAGCAGUUACACAACGAAGUGGUGGUGAAACGUGGUUUGAAGUUGGACGUUCUAAGACAUACACCCCUACUGCUGAUGACAUUGGUCAUGUACUUAAGUUCGAGUGUGUUGUAGUUGAUGCAGAGACAAAACUUACUGUGGGGCAUGCUAGCACUCUACUAACAUCCCGUGUCAUUCCUGCUCCUUCGCCUAGUCCACGUCGAAUGAUACCUGUUGAUGGGAUGGGGCAUUUAGAUGCAGAAGGGCGUAUAACAUCUUCGGGAUCUUUUACGGUUCUAUCAUACAACAUAUUGUCUGAUUCAUAUGCCUCAAGUGAAUUAUACAAUUACUGCCCUUCAUGGGCUCUUUCGUGGCCUUAUCGCCGGCAAAAUUUGUUACGAGAAAUAGUUGGUUACCGUGCUGAUAUUAUUUGUCUUCAGGAGGUUCAAAGUGAUCAUUAUGAGGAAUUUUUUGCCCCUGAACUGGAUAAACAUGGUUAUUAUGGUCUUUACAAGAAAAAAACAAAUGAGGUAUUCCUUGGUAAUGCCAAUACAAUUGAUGGUUGUGCGACAUUUUUUCGUAGAGACAGAUUUUCACAUGUGAAAAAAUAUGAGGUUGAAUUCAAUAAGGCUGCACAGUCAUUAACAGAUGCAAUGAUUCCAACCUCUCAGAGGAAAACUGCCUUGAAUCGGCUGGUUAAGGAUAAUGUUGCACUAAUAGUUGUACUAGAAGCAAAGGUAAACAAUCAGCCUGUUGACAAUCCUGGGAAAAGACAGCUUCUUUGUGUGGCAAAUACACAUGUCAAUGUGCAUGACGAUUUAAAGGAUGUCAAACUCUGGCAGGUGCAUACACUUUUAAAAGGAUUGGAGAAAAUCGCUGCCAGUGCGGACAUUCCAAUGUUGGUUUGUGGAGACUUUAACUCAGUUCCAGGAAGUGCUCCUCAUUCUCUUCUUGCAAUGGGAAAAGUAGAUCCUUCACAUCCUGACUUAGCUGUUGACCCACUUACUAUAUUGCACCCUCGUACCAAGUUGGUUCACCAAUUGCCACUGGUCAGUGCAUAUUCAUCUUUUGCAAGAACAAUUGGUGUUGGGUAUGAGCAGCAUAGACGGAGAUUGGACAGCACAACAAAUGAACCUUUAUUCACCAAUGUCACUAGAGAUUUUAUUGGAUCUCUAGAUUACAUAUUCUACACAGCGGAUUCCUUGGUUGUGGAGUCGUUGUUGGAGCUAUUGGACGAGGAAAGUUUGAGGAAGGAUACAGCUCUUCCUUCACCUGAGUGGUCCUCAGAUCAUAUAGCUCUCUUAGCUGAGUUCCGCUGCUGCAAAAAUAGAUAUAGGCGCUGACUCAUAAGGUCGGAUCCGGAUAUACGUAAACAAAAAGGUUGAAAGAAUCAAGCAUUUAGUUGACAAGAUAUUGUAAGAGUGGUAGAUCAUGGCCUUUGUCUUUUUUCCCAGAUAGAGUGAUAUUAAACAUCCGUUAAGUAAGCAGUGAAGAUUAAUGUUGUAGCACAGGACAAGGACGAUGAAGAGCCACUAGGGAGCUGAGAUUGAGUGAAACUGUUGUUCCCAAAUGACAAAGUACGUCGAUGGGGAAAGGGAAAAGAGCCGCCAUAGAUGGUUUUUUGAGUUGGAAUAGUGUUGUGUUUUAGAGCUUCUAAUGUCAAUCUCUAUUGCCGGAAUUUUUAUACGGUUGUUUGAUAUAUAAAUGUAAGAUUGUAAUGUUUGUAUGAUAGUAUGAUGGGAGUAGCAAUAUUCAUUUUAUAAGUACCAAUGUUCUAUCCCCACUAACGUGGAUGAU